rnacentral:rRNA from 1 species
AGACAGCAGUAGCCGCGGUAAUACGAAGGGGGCUAGCGUUGUUCGGAUUUACUGGGCGUAAAGCGCACGUAGGCGGACUUUUAAGUCAGGGGUGAAAUCCCGGGGCUCAACCCCGGAACUGCCUUUGAUACUGGAAGUCUUGAGUAUGGUAGAGGUGAGUGGAAUUCCGAGUGUAGAGGCGAAAUUCGUAGAUAUUCGGAGGAACACCAGUGGCGAAGGCGGCUCACUGGACCAUUACUGACGCUGAGGUGCGAAAGCGUGGGGAGCAAACAGGAUUAGAUACCCGCGUAGUCCCUGUCUCUUAUCC